rnacentral:ncRNA from 1 species
GGCAUCCGGCGCCCGAAAGGGCUUAAUAGGGAACCGGGUGAGAAUCCCGGACAGACCCGCUGCUGUAAGCCGACGUUUCCGUUCCCCGCUGCCACUGCAUGAAGGCACGCGCAAAACCACUGGGCCAUCAGCCCGGGAAGGCGGGAAUGGAAGCCAUGUCGACAAGUCAGAAGACCUGCCAUGUAUG